rnacentral:lncRNA from 1 species
AUGGCAGCCAAAGACAGCCGGGCUCUCUUUUUGAGUGCCCGGCAUGGUGCCGGGUACAAUGCCAACGGCAUUGUAGCCAAACCCGCUUGAUUAAACCUAAACCAAGCUUUUGGGUUCUAGCAGGCUAGCUGAACAAACGCAAUCCUGUCAUUAAAUCUUAACUAGCUGGUCAAGUUGGACCAUAAUCCCCCUUUUGUGGACUUUGACUAAGAUCAAAUCUCGAAACUUAUGUAAAAGCUUAAUAAUUUUACAUUUUAGAAAAAAAAAAGUUAAUAAAAAUGAAAGUUACAUUAUCUUCGAUGAUAAUCUAGUUGGUUAAUAUUUUUUAGUGAAAGCAAGAUGUUAAGGUUUCAAAUACAAGAGAUACGUUUCAUUUGGGAUGGGGUACUUGUCAAAUAAAAAUUAGCUAAAGGUUAUAUUAAUAGUAAGAGUAACACUAGGGAUCGUAGGUUUGAAUUUCAAGCUCUCAAUUAAUGCGGUGGCACUACAUCAAAUUAAUUAUUGAUGUUGAAUAUGAUGUGAUGGCUAUAUAUAAAUAACCAAAUUAAUUGGAAUUCAAAUGUUAAGAUUCGAAUUAUUAAUAUAAUAUUAAGUGAAGAUGUCAUCUAAUCCCGAGUUAGAUUCAUGACCAUGUAUUGCAUACAAAAAAAAGAGAACUUAAAAUAAUAAAUUGACUUAUUAGUAAGGUAAACCAAUGGUACUUUCUUUGUUUUUAAAAAUAAAGGGAUGGGAAAUUAAAUUUUUUAUUUAUAAAAUUCAUAAUAAUAUAUAAAUUUUCUCAAAAAAAAGAGCCGGAGUACACAUCGACUUGGCCUACACAAGGCUUUGCCUAUAACUGACUUUUCUGCAUGGUCCAUAGUCUCAUGGUUCAAGUUCUUGGUGUUUGGUCCAUUGUCUCGUGGACUUAUGGUUUGUGAUCCCAUAAUGUAUGGUCCAUGGUCUUAUGGAUGUAUGGUCCAUGAUUCCUGGUUUCAAAUUUCUAGUGUUUAGUCCAUUGUCUCAUGGACUUAAGGUUUGUCGUCCCAUAAUGUAUGGUCCAUGGUCUCAUGGAAUUAUGGUUCUUGGUCCUUAGGUGUCUAGUUCCAUCAUCGUUUUUUUUCACUUAUUCAUGAUUAUAUUAAUUGAUCAUUUCACCUUCCACUCGUACCAUCCACAUUUUUUGACUUUAAUAUUCUUUACUAUAACAAUCAUAGUCAUGAUGCUUCUAAUUCAAUUUGGGCACCUUCUCUAAUUAGUCAGAAUAAUGACUUUCCCAUUAAAAACGUUUCUAAGCAAUAAUGACUAACGGCUAGUUUGAUAAUAAUUUAACUUUUAAAAUAUUUGUUAUUUAUUAUAUUGUAAACAUAAUCAACUGUGAAGAUAAUUAGUUAAAUAUUAGGUAAAAUUUAUUUUUGUGAGUUUUAAAAACAGUCGUAAUAUUUGAAAAAAACUUAUUGUUAAACUGUUAUAAGAUUAUAAAUGAUUGAAAUAGAUAUAACAUUAAAUAACGUUUAUUUACAUAUUUAUAAACAUAUGUAUGUAACUUUUUUUGUGUAAAUAUAACAAUUAAGAAUUAAAACAAAUAUUUUAUUUUAUUAAAUUUAUUUUUCAUUUUUAUCUCAAUAUUAUAAGUAACAAUAAUAAUCUUUUUCAAAUUAUUGAUUUUAUAUUCUAAUUGAAUAAGAGUAAUUUUCGAUUUGUAUAAUGUACGUGGGCAUAUACAUAUAGAGUUGUAUUAAAUGUAAAAUUAUUCUAAAAAUCGAAUUUUGAAAAAUUGUUCCUACCUGCUUUUCAAAAUCUAUUAUA